rnacentral:rRNA from 1 species
AGGCCUACGGGGGGCAGCAGUGGGGGAUAUUGCACAAUGGGGGAAACCCUGAUGCAGCGAUGCCGCGUGGAGGAAGAAGGUUUUCGGAUUGUAAACUCCUUUUAUCAGGGACGAUAAUGACGGUACCUGAAGAAAAAGCUCCGGCUAACUACGUGCCAGCAGCCGCGGUAAUACGUAGGGGGCGAGCGUUAUCCGGAUUUACUGGGUGUAAAGGGAGCGUAGACGGCAUUGCAAGUCUGAUGUGAAAGAUUGGGGCUCAACCCCAGGCCUGCAUUGGAAACUGUAAAGCUGUAGU